rnacentral:rRNA from 1 species
GGUUAAGCGACUAAGCGUACACGGUGGAUGCCCUGGCAGUCAGAGGCGAUGAAGGACGUGCUAAUCUGCGAUAAGCGUCGGUAAGGUGAUAUGAACCGUUAUAACCGGCGAUUUCCGAAUGGGGAAACCCAGUGUGAUUCGUCACACUAUCAUUAACUGAAUCCAUAGGUUAAUGAGGCGAACCGGGGGAACUGAAACAUCUAAGUACCCCGAGGAAAAGAAAUCAACCGAGAUUCCCCCAGUAGCGGCGAGCGAACGGGGAGGAGCCCAGAGCCUGAAUCAGUGUGUGUGUUAGUGGAAGCGUCUGGAAAGGCGCGCGAUACAGGGUGACAGCCCCGUACACAAAAAUGCACAUGCUGUGAGCUCGAUGAGUAGGGCGGGACACGUGGUAUCCUGUCUGAAUAUGGGGGGACCAUCCUCCAAGGCUAAAUACUCCUGACUGACCGAUAGUGAACCAGUACCGUGAGGGAAAGGCGAAAAGAACCCCGGCGAGGGGAGUGAAAAAGAACCUGAAACCGUGUACGUACAAGCAGUGGGAGCACAGAGCAAUCUGUGUGACUGCGUACCUUUUGUAUAAUGGGUCAGCGACUUAUAUUCUGUAGCAAGGUUAACCGAAUAGGGGAGCCGAAGGGAAACCGAGUCUUAACUGGGCGUUAAGUUGCAGGGUAUAGACCCGAAACCCGGUGAUCUAGCCAUGGGCAGGUUGAAGGUUGGGUAACACUAACUGGAGGACCGAACCGACUAAUGUUGAAAAAUUAGCGGAUGACUUGUGGCUGGGGGUGAAAGGCCAAUCAAACCGGGAGAUAGCUGGUUCUCCCCGAAAGCUAUUUAGGUAGCGCCUCGUGAAUUCAUCUCCGGGGGUAGAGCACUGUUUCGGCAAGGGGGUCAUCCCGACUUACCAACCCGAUGCAAACUGCGAAUACCGGAGAAUGUUAUCACGGGAGACACACGGCGGGUGCUAACGUCCGUCGUGAAGAGGGAAACAACCCAGACCGCCAGCUAAGGUCCCAAAGUCAUGGUUAAGUGGGAAACGAUGUGGGAAGGCCCAGACAGCCAGGAUGUUGGCUUAGAAGCAGCCAUCAUUUAAAGAAAGCGUAAUAGCUCACUGGUCGAGUCGGCCUGCGCGGAAGAUGUAACGGGGCUAAACCAUGCACCGAAGCUGCGGCAGCGACGCUUAUGCGUUGUUGGGUAGGGGAGCGUUCUGUAAGCCUGCGAAGGUGUGCUGUGAGGCAUGCUGGAGGUAUCAGAAGUGCGAAUGCUGACAUAAGUAACGAUAAAGCGGGUGAAAAGCCCGCUCGCCGGAAGACCAAGGGUUCCUGUCCAACGUUAAUCGGGGCAGGGUGAGUCGACCCCUAAGGCGAGGCCGAAAGGCGUAGUCGAUGGGAAACAGGUUAAUAUUCCUGUACUUGGUGUUACUGCGAAGGGGGGACGGAGAAGGCUAUGUUGGCCGGGCGACGGUUGUCCCGGUUUAAGCGUGUAGGCUGGUUUUCCAGGCAAAUCCGGAAAAUCAAGGCUGAGGCGUGAUGACGAGGCACUACGGUGCUGAAGCAACAAAUGCCCUGCUUCCAGGAAAAGCCUCUAAGCAUCAGGUAACAUCAAAUCGUACCCCAAACCGACACAGGUGGUCAGGUAGAGAAUACCAAGGCGCUUGAGAGAACUCGGGUGAAGGAACUAGGCAAAAUGGUGCCGUAACUUCGGGAGAAGGCACGCUGAUAUGUAGGUGAAGUCCCUCGCGGAUGGAGCUGAAAUCAGUCGAAGAUACCAGCUGGCUGCAACUGUUUAUUAAAAACACAGCACUGUGCAAACACGAAAGUGGACGUAUACGGUGUGACGCCUGCCCGGUGCCGGAAGGUUAAUUGAUGGGGUUAGCGCAAGCGAAGCUCUUGAUCGAAGCCCCGGUAAACGGCGGCCGUAACUAUAACGGUCCUAAGGUAGCGAAAUUCCUUGUCGGGUAAGUUCCGACCUGCACGAAUGGCGUAAUGAUGGCCAGGCUGUCUCCACCCGAGACUCAGUGAAAUUGAACUCGCUGUGAAGAUGCAGUGUACCCGCGGCAAGACGGAAAGACCCCGUGAACCUUUACUAUAGCUUGACACUGAACAUUGAGCCUUGAUGUGUAGGAUAGGUGGGAGGCUUUGAAGUGUGGACGCCAGUCUGCAUGGAGCCGACCUUGAAAUACCACCCUUUAAUGUUUGAUGUUCUAACGUUGACCCGUGAUCCGGGUUGCGGACAGUGUCUGGUGGGUAGUUUGACUGGGGCGGUCUCCUCCUAAAGAGUAACGGAGGAGCACGAAGGUUGGCUAAUCCUGGUCGGACAUCAGGAGGUUAGUGCAAUGGCAUAAGCCAGCUUGACUGCGAGCGUGACGGCGCGAGCAGGUGCGAAAGCAGGUCAUAGUGAUCCGGUGGUUCUGAAUGGAAGGGCCAUCGCUCAACGGAUAAAAGGUACUCCGGGGAUAACAGGCUGAUACCGCCCAAGAGUUCAUAUCGACGGCGGUGUUUGGCACCUCGAUGUCGGCUCAUCACAUCCUGGGGCUGAAGUAGGUCCCAAGGGUAUGGCUGUUCGCCAUUUAAAGUGGUACGCGAGCUGGGUUUAGAACGUCGUGAGACAGUUCGGUCCCUAUCUGCCGUGGGCGCUGGAGAACUGAGGGGGGCUGCUCCUAGUACGAGAGGACCGGAGUGGACGCAUCACUGGUGUUCGGGUUGUCAUGCCAAUGGCACUGCCCGGUAGCUAAAUGCGGAAGAGAUAAGUGCUGAAAGCAUCUAAGCACGAAACUUGCCCCGAGAUGAGUUCUCCCUGACUCCUUGAGAGUCCUGAAGGAACGUUGAAGACGACGACGUUGAUAGGCCGGGUGUGUAAGCGCAGCGAUGCGUUGAGCUAACCGGUACUAAUGAACCGUGAGGCUUAACCUU